rnacentral:rRNA from 1 species
AUUGAACGCUGGCGGCAGGCCUAACACAUGCAAGUCGAACGGUAGCACAGAGAGCUUGCUCUCGGGUGACGAGUGGCGGACGGGUGAGUAAUGUCUGGGAAACUGCCCGAUGGAGGGGGAUAACUACUGGAAACGGUAGCUAAUACCGCAUAACGUCGCAAGACCAAAGUGGGGGACCUUCGGGCCUCACACCAUCGGAUGUGCCCAGAUGGGAUUAGCUAGUAGGUGGGGUAAUGGCUCACCUGGGCGACGAUCCCUAGCUGGUCUGUGAGGAUGCCCGGGCACAAGGAAACUGAGAAACGGACAAGACUCCUACGGGAGGCAGCAGUGGAGAAUAUUGGACAAUGGGGGGAACCAUGAUCCAGCCAUGCCGCGUGUGUGAAGAAGGCCUUAUGGUUAUAAAGCACUUUAAGCGAGGAGGAGGCUACUGAGACUAAUACUCUUGGAUAGUGGACGUUACUCGCAGAAUAAGCACCGGCUAACUCUGUGCCGGCCGCCGCCGUAA